CAAGACGCAACUUUACCAUUUCAAGGCCGUGGUGAUUGCCGGCAUGGGCUUCUUCACCGACGCCUACGACCUCUUCUGCAUCGCGCUCGUCACCAAGCUGCUGGGGCGCAUCUACUACACCGAUCCUGCCCUCAACGAGCCCGGCCACCUCCCGGCAAACGUGUCGGCCGCCGUGAACGGCGUGGCCCUAUGCGGCACACUUGCCGGCCAGCUCUUCUUCGGCUGGCUCGGCGACAAGCUCGGCCGCAAGAGCGUCUACGGCUUCACGCUCAUCCUCAUGGUCCUCUGCUCCAUCGCGUCAGGGCUCUCGUUUGGACACGAGGCCAAGGGCGUGAUGGGGACUCUAUGUUUCUUCCGCUUCUGGCUCGGCUUCGGCGUCGGCGGCGACUACCCUCUGAGCGCCACCAUCAUGUCGGAGUAUGCUAACAAGAAGACCCGCGGCACCUUUAUCGCCGCCGUGUUUGCCAUGCAGGGGUUUGGCAUCCUAUUUGGUACUAUCGUUACCAUCAUCGUCUCGUCCGCAUUCCGACAUGCAUUCCCUGCACCGCCAUUUUACAUUGACGCCGCGGCAUCCAUUGGCCCGGAGGCCGACUACGUGUGGCGCAUCAUCGUCAUGUUCGGCACCAUCCCGGCCGCCCUGAC
rnacentral:lncRNA from 1 species